rnacentral:rRNA from 1 species
GAUGAACGCUAGCGGCAGGCUUAACACAUGCAAGUCGAGGGGUAACAGGGUAGCAAUACUGCUGACGACCGGCAAACGGGUGCGGAACACGUACACAAUCUGCCUUUGUCUGGGGGAUAGCCCGAAGAAAUUCGGAUUAACACCCCAUAUUAUAAUUAGGUGGCAUCACCUUGAUUAUUAAAACUCCGGUGGACAAAGAUGAGUGUGCGUCCCAUUAGCUAGUUGGUAGGGUAACGGCCACCAAGGCGACGAUGGGGUAGCUGGUGUGAAGA